rnacentral:tRNA from 1 species
GCACCCGUAGCUCAGAUGGAUAGAGCGCCGGUCUACGAAACCGAAGGUCGCCCGUUCGAAUCGGGCCGGGUGCGCCA